rnacentral:rRNA from 1 species
AUGGCACAGCACGACGGCAAGCCAUACCAGCCACGCCGGGGCCCCGAGCGCCCCCCGCAGCCGGCGGAGGACCCGCCCGCGCCCGCCGCUGCGCCCGCCGCUGCGCCCGCAGCAGCGGACGCCGUGAUUGACCACCUCGCGGCCGUGGCUGCCGAGGCGGAGGCCUUGAACGCGUCCAUCGCGGCCGUCGCGGCCGAGGCGGAGGCGAUGAACGCGUACGAGCACGCGCAGGAGCAGGAGAUGGAGGAGGAAGAGGAGGAGGAGGAAGAGGAGGAAGAGGAGGAGAUGGAGGAGGACGACGACGAUGGCGAGGGGGACGGGCAGCACGGCGGCAACGGGGAGUCCGUCCCAAUAGACGCCGAGGCCGCGGCACAGGCGGCUGCUGCAGCUGCGGCCGGCGCACCGUUGGACCCGCACGGGGCGAUGGUCUCUGCGAUUGUGCCGCCCACCACGGGUAACCAGCUCACUCUUUCAUUUCAGGGCGAGGUCUACGUGUUCGACUCUGUUUCCCCUGAUAAGGUGCAAGCUGUGCUUUUGCUGCUAGGGGGAAGGGAGCUGAAUCCAGGCAUGGGUGCCGGAGCAUCAUCAUCUACUCCAUACAGUAAGAGGUUGAAUUUUCCACACCGGGUGGCAUCGUUGAUGAGGUUUAGGGAGAAGCGGAAAGAGCGGAACUUUGAUAAGAAGAUCCGGUAUACAGUUCGCAAGGAAGUUGCACUAAGGAUGCAGCGUAAUAGAGGCCAAUUUACAUCUUCAAAACCAAAACCUGAUGACGGAACAUCUGAACUGGCAACUGCAGAUGGCUCCCCAAAUUGGGGAUCAGUGGAAGGUCGACCUCCGUCUGCUGCUUCAUGCCAUCACUGUGGUACUAAUGCACAUAAUACACCUAUGAUGCGUCGUGGACCUGAAGGGCCAAGAACAUUAUGCAAUGCUUGCGGCCUCAUGUGGGCAAAUAAGGGCAUGUUGAGGGACCUAUCAAAGUCUACUCCCCCAUCUCUUCAAAUGGUGUCAACAGGUCCAAAUGAUAGUCAGAAUGGAAACACCCUCUCUCAGCAGAAUGGAAACACCCUCUCUCAGCAGAAUGGAAGCACCCUCUCUCAGCAGAAUGGAAAUGCUGCCAUAGUGCCCUUUGCCGAGCAACAAAACCCAGCACCAGCGACCGAUGCCAACGGUCACGACCAUGGUUCUUCGACAUGA